rnacentral:lncRNA from 1 species
UAUACUUUAACAUAUAAAUAAAUAUAUAAUAUAUAAUAUAAUAUAUAAAAUAUAUAAAUAUACUUUUAUACUUUAUAUAUUAUAUAGAACAUAUAAAUAUACUUUAUAUGUUCUAUAUAAUAUAUAAUAUAAAAAUACUUUACUAUAUAAAAUAUACUAUUUACUUUAUAAAUAUAAUGGCCCCUCCAGUUGCUGCUACCAGAAGGAAACUGCUGCUUGCACACGUCAAUCUUUGUGCAGCCUCACUUCCUCCAUUUCUCUGAGUCAAACCAGUCCCUCCAGCUAUAACUCCAUUCCUAUACUCUCUGCUGCAAACAGGGCUAUAGCUUAUGCAUAUUUUCCUUUAUGCAUAUUUUGGCAUUGACGGAUCAUACCUGUUUUUUAGAUUCACUGAAAAUUAAGUUCAAUUAUUUUUUUGUUCAGUUUUUAACCUCUCCUUGUUGCUUUUGGAUGAUUCCAGGAAGAGAGCAAAAAAUACUGACGUAAAUAGUCAUAUUCAUCCUGGAGGUUCAGACUGGCAUUAUGAGAUGACUGCUCUGGCAACCCUGCGGAGGAUAAAUGAAAGGGAGCCCAGUAGCCGUAGCUAAACCAAUUAGGAAAAUGCUGCAGUGGUUCAGGUGGUAGACAACAGUAGUCUAGACCAGCAUAGAAUCUGUAAAAUCAGAAUUGGAGUCAAAGGGGAAAUGAGUAAGAUAAUUUGGCUUAGGUAUCUGAUCUGCAUCAUACUCCAAUCAGCAUCUCAUAUUACCACUGUCGUGUACUUAAAACAAUGAUUCCUGGAAUUUUCCAUCAACUCCAGCUGUUAUUGUAUGCAAAUUGCUAUUUUCUCAUUGCCAAUAAGUACUCACCAUCAGUUAUAUUAGUACUAGGCUAAAAUAUAAAUGAAAUAGUAAAUGAAAUGCUUGCAAGCUAUGAUUCUCAGACUUUUCAACCAGUGACACAAAAAACAAAUUUUGAAACACGCAAAUAGGAAAAUCUGCUCUUGUUGUUACUACUGCUAUUAUUACCAUUACUAAUACUUAUGCACAUAUGUUUCAAAUGCCAGUGAAGCCACAUGAUUUAUAGUUAACAGUAGAUGGAAUGGAAAGAAAUAGGGUUGAGAGUAAAUGCCCACUCCUGUCUUCAAGCGCAGGAUUGUCUGCUCAAUAGAUCUCCCUUUCACUUUUGUGUGAGGCAAAGUGUGCAGCACACUUAUGGAGGCCCUGCCCCAUCUUCUGUUUCACAUUCAGAACAUAAAUGAAAUUAGGCACCUGUCUAAAUUUAUCACAUUUGUAAUUUUUCAGUUUCCUUUACAUUUAAGUACACUUACUGCAUUCUUCUAGGGUGAAUCUUGAUUCAUGAAAUACAUUAUUCCUUUUGUUUCAAAACAGAGAAAUUUUAUGUAUUAAACUACCAAAGGGAUGUUAAGAUAUAUUUAUUGUAUUAGUCCGUUCUCAUGCUGCUAAUAAGGAUAUACCAAAAACUAGUUAAUUUACAAAGGAAAGAGGUUUAAUUGAAUCGCAGUUCCACAUAGCUGGGGAGGCCUCAAAAUCAUGGCAGAAGGCAAAGGAGAAACAAAGGCAUAGCUUACAUGGCAGCAGGCAAGAGAGAGCUUUUACAGGGGAACUGCCAUUUAUAAAACCAUCAGAUCUCCUGAGACUAAUUAACUGCCACGAGAACAGUAUGGGGGAAACUGCCCCCAUGAUUCAGUUACCUCCCACUGGGUCCCUUCCAUGACAUGUGGGAAUUAUGGGGGGUACAAUUUAAGAUGAGAUUUGGGUGGGGAUAUAGCCAAACCAUAUCAUUUAUUCUUAAUUAUUUAUCUUUGAAAAACUUUGGGAGAAUUAACACAAGUUACCAAAAAAGAUUCAGGGACAGUCUCUGAAGCAAUGAUCUUUUGGUGGCUCAGAUUCUUCAAUUUUUUUCUUCCUUAACUUUGAGGGGUGCAAAUGUGGCAGCCAUGUUGCUAUUGAAGAGCUGAAAACUGACUGUCCAGGGCUAAAGUCAACAGGCCCUUAAGCUCAAGGAUAGCAAGUACUAGGAGCAUGAAGCACCUGUUGAAAAUAUUACAUGUUUGCUGGAGAAUUCUUGCAAGGUAACAACAACAACAAUAACAACUGCUAUAGGGAAACUUGCAGAAGAGAUCAUGCGUUUCUGUAAAUACCUGUAACACUUCUUGCUACAAUGUGUUAUAUAAAAUAAGUAGAAACUCUUAAAAAUACAUAAGUCAUUUUUCAUUAUUAUCUUACAUCAUGCCAGGAACCCCAUCUACUCCUCUGUGUUCCUUGAGUGCACUCAGUUUCGUUUUCAGCAGAAGUUGUGUCAUACACUCACUGUGCAAAGCUGACAGUCCCUAACAUCAUUUGUUUUGAUGAGGGUUAAAGAAAGGGUAUUGUUGUUUCAUAAAAACAAUGUUGAAUAAAUUUAUAAAUAACUUUGUAAUGAUGAAUUGUUUAUACACUGCUGUUGAAUUACAUGCGGGCAAAACAUCAAUAAAAUUUCUAAAAAUUCAUUUGGCAGAAUUGCUU